UCAUUGUAUACAGGCUAUUAGAAGGAGGUAGAGACUAUUUCAUUGUAUACAGGCUGAUAGAAGGAGGUAAAGACUAUUUCAUUGUAUACAGGCUGAUAGAAGGAGGUAAAGACUAUUUCAUUGUAUACAGGCUGAUAGAAGGAGGUAGAGACUAUUUCAUUGUAUACAGGCUGAUAGAAGGAGG